rnacentral:rRNA from 1 species
GACAGAGGAUGCAAGCGUUAUCCGGAAUGAUUGGGCGUAAAGCGUCUGUAGGUGGCUUUUUAAGUCCGCCGUCAAAUCCCAGGGCUCAACCCUGGACAGGCGGUGGAAACUACCAAGCUGGAGUACGGUAGGGGCAGAGGGAAUUUCCGGUGGAGCGGUGAAAUGCGCAGAUAUCAGGAGGAACACCGGUGGCGAAGGCGGAUCUCUGGGCCGUAACUGACGCUGAGGAGCGAAAGCAUGGGGAGCGAACAGG